CACAUACACAAGUUUAGAAAAUGGCAGUGACUCUGAUUAAAAAUGUAAUGUAAAAAUGUUAUAAAAAACUUCUUUAUGGAAAAGUGUAGCAUUGACGAUGUCCUGGAAUUGUUCCACGUUUACUAUGAGCUGGAUUUGACCUCGAAAGCCUCCAAAACCCAUGCGAGUGUUGAGGAAGAAAGAUAAUGUGUCCAAAGAAACUUCUCCGAGGUGGAAGAUGUCCACAUAAAGCUAAUAAAUUCACCCGACUGUAGGCGGCGUAUGUGAGUCUACCUUCAGUGCGUGGGACUGCUUGUCAAAGUACUUGGUAUGUAGCUUAUGUAAUUUGAUUUCAAUUGUGCCUUCUGUUUCUUUUUAAAUUUAUUUUUAAACAAAGCUGUAUUAUCAUGGGGGAAGAAAAAAAGUCUUUCUAAAUGUUUCAAUAGCUUAUCAUUGCUGUCACGUUUUAAAGUUCCUGUUUAACAGUGAAUUGGAUACAGGUAAUGUUCCACUACAGAGGCUCUACAGGUAUGAACAAUUGUACCACGCAGAUUUUUGUUAAAAAAAACAAUAUUUAAUAAGCAACCUAAUUUUGGAUUAAACAGAAAAAAACACAUGCAUUAUAGAUUAAAUAACUGUUAAUAAGCUCACUUCUGGUAUGUAACUGUAUACUUCACACAAUUAAAAGUAUAGUUGGCAAAAGAUAAACUACCUGAAAGAUAUCUCUUUAAAAUGGGAGAUACCAGAAUUCUUGUGUACCCCUAUAAUCAGGUAACUGAGAGUAAUUGUUUUAGUUGUUGCCAAUUAAUAUAAGGCUUGAGGUCGGAAAAAUAAAUGUACAUGAACGCAACAGGAUGUCAUAAUUGGUGUUUUUAUGUAUUUUAAAAUUGAAUUACUGGCACUUAUAAAAUGUUACCUUGUAAAGUGGUAUCCUGUUUUGAUCGCAUUAGUAACACAUAUUCAGUCUGCUUAGGUAGGGUUAGAUAGCUCACAAAAUACUUGUUUGGAAACAUUGCACCACAUAAAAGCGAAUUUCCAGUUAAGAUCUAAAGUGAGAAUUGUGACUCAUAGAGAGUACCUGAUGUAGCAUAAUUAUAAGCGGUAUUUUACCAAAUGGUCACAAUUGCACAAAGUAAUUAAUGUGAUUACAGUGUAUAGACAUUCACUCUUUGGAACCGGUUUUUAAAUUAAUAAUAAAUGCUAUGCAGGUUUUGCAACUUACAACAACUGCAAUAGAUUAACUAAAAAAAAAAGUUAAAAAUAUUAAAUUCCAACAUACAGUAAUGUAAUUAUCAGCCAUUCACAAUACUGUUUAUAGUACUAAUUCAUUCAUGUGAAAAGCCAUAUCCUACCAUUAUUCAUAGUACAACAUCUGCAAAUUAUUAUAAAGUUAUUAAACAAUAAUGAUGUAAUUAUCCAAUGAUGUCAUUAUACAGAAUCAAAAGAGGUAACUCUUAUUAGUCUAAAAUGGGAACAGUGGCAAAAUGAUAUUGUCAUGCAAUAGGUGGUUGACAUCAUAAUAUUGUUACAUGGUUGAGCAUAUUCAGUUUGCUUUGUAUCAGUGUGUAACUAGUCCAGAACAAUUGUGGUCUUCAGUGAUAUUAAUAUUUGUACAUUUCCUGGAGAUGCAGUGGCAGCUUGCCUAGACUAUAAUAAAUAUCAUUGUUGCACCACUAAUGAGCACACUUAAUCAACUUGUUUGUUGCAUUGCUUUGACUCCGAGCGCAAAUCGAUUGAUGAAUGUGAGGAGCUGGUGAUCAAUGCUGCAGCGGCCAAACAACAAUCUGACCUUCUACCCAGUAAGAAACUCGUGGUGAGAGCCGAGCAGCUGCAUCUUGCUGAGUGUUGAUCGAUUGUUUACGGGACUUUGGACCUGCGGACUGGCAGCUGGCCAGUCUGGUGUUUAAAACCUUGUGGAACUGCAGUGAGAAAAUGACAUGAGCUGCCUUGAGCGUCGGAGAGGAAGAGACAAAAACACAGCUACAAAUCCUAGAAGAGGAUCUUGCUUUAGAGGACAGCUAAUGCGAAGACCUAAGAGAAUUCCCUAAAGUCUGCUGGGAGACAGAAUUUAUCCCUGGGGCUCAUCAGCUAAUGAAUAGGACCCAGAGUCACUAAACUUUACUGGAGCCUCUCGCAGCUCCAUCAUAGCAACAUGGGGUGUUUUCAAAACACCGCAAAGUGCACUCAAGCAAUAUUUCCUUUGAUUGCUGGCUGUAUAACAAAACCCUUGAUUUAGGCUUUGUCAAUUAUAUUGUGCUUUUACAGUCUAUUAUGUAAUCGUAGCUGCUGAAGAUAAUACAUCAUGCAGUACAGGCGCUGGAGAAGAUUACAUAAUAUAUAAUGGACAACAAUAAGCAGUCAAAUCUAUUGUUAAUGCAAUACAGAUGGAAAUAUUUCAGGUUUUGUGAAAUAGAAGAAGCUUAUUAAGCAGCUAGAUAAUUGUACAAAGGUGCAUGUUUUAAAGAUCCAAGCCACUCUAUAACAGGGAGAGUGAGGGGGAGGGGGAGGGGGAGGUAGAAAAUCUGGAACUGGGUACACCUGUGAAAAAUACCCGGAUUAACUUUUCUUUUCAGGUAAUGAUUUAAAAAAAAAAAAAGUUUUAAGUGCAUGAUACAUAUUUAAAUACUACAUAGUAGAUAUACAUUUAAGGGCCUCAUGCACUAAACAGCAAUAAGUUCCUUUAGAUACUGCGUGGCAAGGGAAUCACAUACUGCACACAAAAACGAAGGCGUGACCGCUCUAUUGACUAAGCUAAUAAUAUGCUGUGAGGCGAGAGUGUAUUAAAUGGAAUGUCCAGACAGUAAUUUAUGUGU